ACACAUGCAAGUCGAACGGUGAAGCCAAGCUUGCUUGGUGGAUCAGUGGCGAACGGGUGAGUAACACGUGAGCAACCUGCCCUGAACUCUGGGAUAAGCGCUGGAAACGGCGUCUAAUACUGGAUAUGAGCUGCGGAGGCAUCUUCGUGGUUGGAAAGAUUUUUCGGUUUGGGAUGGGCUCGCGGCCUAUCAGCUUGUUGGUGAGGUAAUGGCUCACCAAGGCGUCGACGGGUAGCCGGCCUGAGAGGGUGACCGGCCACACUGGGACUGAGACACGGCCCAGACUCCUACGGGAGGCAGCAGUGGGGAAUAUUGCACAAUGGGCGGAAGCCUGAUGCAGCAACGCCGCGUGAGGGAUGACGGCCUUCGGGUUGUAAACCUCUUUUAGCAGGGAAGAAGCGAAAGUGACGGUACCUGCAGAAAAAGCGCCGGCUAACUACGUGCCAGCAGCCGCGGUAAUACGUAGGGCGCAAGCGUUAUCCGGAAUUAUUGGGCGUAAAGAGCUCGUAGGCGGUUUGUCGCGUCUGCUGUGAAAUCUGGGGGCUCAACCCUCAGCCUGCAGUGGGUACGGGCAGACUAGAGUGCGGUAGGGGAGAUUGGAAUUCCUGGUGUAGCGGUGGAAUGCGCAGAUAUCAGGAGGAACACCGAUGGCGAAGGCAGAUCUCUGGGCCGUAACUGACGCUGAGGAGCGAAAGGGUGGGGAGCAAACAGGCUUAGAUACCCUGGUAGUCCACCCCGUAAACGUUGGGAACUAGUUGUGGGGUCCAUUCCACGGAUUCCGUGACGCAGCUAACGCAUUAAGUUCCCCGCCUGGGGAGUACGGCCGCAAGGCUAAAACUCAAAGGAAUUGACGGGGACCCGCACAAGCGGCGGAGCAUGCGGAUUAAUUCGAUGCAACGCGAAGAACCUUACCAAGGCUUGACAUACACGAGAACGCUGCAGAAAUGUAGAACUCUUUGGACACUCGUGAACA
rnacentral:rRNA from 1 species